UACGGAAGGCAGCAGUGGGGAAUAUUGGACAAUGGGCGAAAGCCUGAUCCAGCCAUGCCGCAUGAGUGAAGAAGGCCUUCGGGUUGUAAAGCUCUUUUAGUGAGAAAGAUAAUGACGGUACUCACAGAAGAAGUCCUGGCUAACUCCGUGCCAGCAGCCGCGGUAAUACGGAGAGGGCUAGCGUUAUUCGGAAUUAUUGGGCGUAAAGAGCGCGUAGGCUGAUUAGUAAGUUAAAAGUGAAAUCCCAAAGCUUAACUUUGGAAUUGCUUUUUAAAACUGCUAGUCUAGAGAUUGAAAGAGGAUAGAGGAAUUCCUAGUGUAGAGGUGAAAUUCGUAAAUAUUAGGAGGAACACCAGUGGCGAAGGCGUCUAUCUGGUUCAAAUCUGACGCUGAGGCGCGAAGGGCGUGGGGAGACAAACGAGGAUUAGACUACC
rnacentral:rRNA from 1 species